rnacentral:lncRNA from 1 species
AUCACAGAAGGAGGAUGGGCCUUAGACAGACAUCACUCUUUAGAAUCCCUGCAACUUUGAGCAAGUUCGUGAAUCUCACUAAGGCUCAGUUUCCUCCAUAAAAUUAAUCAAUAUCAGGGCCUCUGCAUUGGACAACUCCAGAGGGCACCAUUGGGGUUAUACCUUGUGUUUGCCUAACCUUCAUUGCAGUGGGCAGGUGCAUGCUUUCUACAAUGUCCUAAGGUCUAAAGGGGUAGAGUUCUGUGUGUGGCAUUUUAGGCCUGGAAAGGAUGAGAGUCUACAAAACCAGAGAAAUACUGCAGAGCUCCUAAAGUCCUUGGAAUGUCCUAAGUGGUGAGUUUAUGCUAAAGAGGUAACUUUUGGAAAACCUCUAAGGAUGGGGGGCUGGUUGCCAGGGGAGCCAACCAUGUGAUUAGAAGGUUGGAACUUUCACCACCCACCACCCUGACCUCCAGGGAAGGGAAAGUGGCUGGAAGUUGACUUAAUUUGCAAUGGGCAAUGAUUUCAUCAAUCACGUCUAUGUAAUGAAGCCUCCACAAGAAAAAAAUCUUAACAGAAGACCUUCAGAGAGCUUCCAGGUUGCUGACCACAUGGAGGUCAUGCCCAGAGAGGGUGUGAAAGCUCCACACCCCUUUUCCAUACCUUGCCCUACUUAUCUCUUCCAUCUGGCUGUUUCUAAGUUGCAUCCUUUAUAUUAAAGCAAUAAUGUUGUAAAUGAACUUUCUCUGAGUUCUGUGACCCAUUCUAGCAAAUGGUCAAACCCAGGAGGGAAUGGUAUGAACCUCUGGUUUACAGCCAUUGGUAAGAAGCACACAUGACAACCUGGACUUUCCAUCAACAUUUGAAGCGGGAGCAGUCUUGUGGGAUCAAGCUCUUAACCUGUGGGGUCUGCUACUAACUCUGAAUCCAAUGAACACAUGGACCCAACACUCCUUUGGCCAAGUUGAUGAUUCUCCACCAUUUAUUUGCCUGCCUCACUAUACACUUCUAGCAAGCCACUGCAAGGCUGCAUUGCAGCUAAGAGGAAGCCCUCCUUGAAGGCUGCACAGCAAGGAGUGUUGGCAGAGUAGCUGGGUUUCCACUGGGAGAGCACGAGUCAGCAUCAUGCUGGGCUCAAGCAUGGAUAUGCACUGCUGCUGCCAGAGCAUCAUAAUUUGCAAGCAUUUAUCGAGUACCCUUCAUCUAAUUUUCAUCCUGCGGAAACUAGAAAUUGCUACACUUGCACACAAUAAACUUCUGGCAGUUAGCCUUCUAAACUGGGACACUACCAUUUGGGAGGGAAAAGACCUUUCUGGUGGUUAAAGAUGGGGCUUCCAGUUACUGCAUUUGUUUUAAUACAGUCUAUUCCAUAGAGCCAUCGAUGGAGACUCAUUAUAUAACCUUUCGUGGAAAGCUUCUGACUUCUUUCUCAAUGCACAGUGCUUCACGUGACUUUUGAGUUAUAGCUGACUGCCCUAGCUCACAUUUUAGUGCCAGAAGAUCCCAGACCACCACCCAUGAUCCCAGGCUGGAGGAAGCAGCAGGCUAGCGGAAUUCAGGACCAAUGAGCCAGGAAAGAGGACCCAAUGCAGAGCUCACAUCCCACCCUCCUUCCCCCAUGACAAAGCACUGGCAAACCCUGCCAAAGAAGAAGCUUGGCUGCAAAGCAGUCUGGAACUGGACCCGGGAUAGAUUCACCAGGAGCUCACCACCACAGGGAAUGCUGCACUUUGACUGGACAGAAUGCAUCCUCCAUGCCCACAGAGCAUGUGCCCAGGAUGAAUCUCACUGUAUCCCAGUUCCUCAUGCUUGGCCCCAAACCUCUUUUUCACAGUAAUAAAGAAAACACACUUUACAAAAAGGCAGUUCAUCUAUGAACAUAUUGGCUAGGAUAACACAUCUUAGAGCUAAAUGUGUCACUGUAAAUGGACUCAUUUUAUAUCUCCA